UACGUAGGGCGCAAGCGUUAUCCGGAAUUAUUGGGCGUAAAGAGCUCGUAGGCGGUUUGUCGCGUCUGCCGUGAAAGUCCGGGGCUCAACUCCGGAUCUGCGGUGGGUACGGGCAGACUAGAGUGAUGUAGGGGAGACUGGAAUUCCUGGUGUAGCGGUGAAAUGCGCAGAUAUCAGGGAGGAACACCGAUGGCGAAGGCAGGUCUCUGGGCAUUAACUGACGCUGAGGAGCGAAAGCCAGGGGAGCAAACAGG
rnacentral:rRNA from 1 species